CUGAGGAGACAGGACCUGGGAGAGGCGGCCUCACGACCCCUUCGCCCAUUGCAUGAUGGGAAACCAGACGCAGUGCAUGCCGGGACAUCAGGCCCCCUGCAGCCCUGCCCCACUGCAUGAUGGGGCACCGUUCCCGUCCUUGCCGCCCUCUUCCACGCAGUGCAUGCCGGGACAUCGCACCCCUCCGCCUCCGGCCUCGUGCGGGCGGGGACUGGCUGCCAGCCGUGCCCGCUGGGCCUCGGCGGCCUUGGGAGGGGGCCUGCUGCCUAGGCCCUGCCUCUGCUGGGCAGGUUGGGACCCUUGUGUCACAGCACCGUGCGCCGAGCCAGCCUCGAGUCUCCCCGAGCAUCCCUGCCAGGGGUUGGCCAGCCUGGCCUCAGAGCUCCAGUGAUGGGGACUCCACACCCCCAGGAGCCUGCUCCCAGGCUCAUCCUUCCGUACGCAUCAAAGGAACAGAACACAGCUACAGCCCAGUCCUGUGCCAAGAUGACCAGUGUGCUGCCAGUAUCAAAGGGAGGCAUGCCCACUGUCCAUUCUGCAGCAUUUCAGAGGCUUAUCAGGACCUGUUCAUUCUCCAGGCUCACUACCGGGUCAAACACAUGGACAAGGGGCUUGACUUUGCAGGACUGAAGAUCCUGCGCUGCUGCAAUCACUGUGAGAUCGUGGGCACGAUCAAAGGGGAGAAGAAGUUCAAAGGGGCGCACUGGCACUGCUACCGCUGCCGCAAUGGCUUCAACCGGCGGGACGAGGCAGUGAAGCACUACAAAACCCACUUCCGGAACCCCCACACCACCUUCCAGAUCCAGAUCACACAGGAUGUCAACAGCCGCCAGUAUUACCAGCACAGCGCCGAAGCCCACCCUAAGGCCUAUGGCGGCCUCCAUGUCUCCACCGGAGCCAGCGUCGAUGUGAUGGCCAUAGGCUCGGUGCUGGCCCAGACCGUCCUGGCAUCAGGAUCGCCUGUCUUCACCACCGACAAAGGGACAGAAAACCUCUUGGACAGCCCUGCCAAGGACAGCCGUUUGAACAGCAGGAUCAUGCUGGGAGUAGAAGAGAUGGCGGGGCUCAGCACCUCCUCCUCAUCCCUUCCCACCCAUCAAACCCUGGUGCUGAUGGACCCUGAUGGAGACAGUGGCAACAUCAUCUUUGAAGAGGGAGCCAAUUCUCUGGCAGGGCAGCCCAGUGAGGGGCUGGAUCAGAACCUGCUGGAGAAACAACUGAUUGAGCUGCACCAGCAGAACCAACAGCUGCUGGAGGAGAAGAAGGAGAUGGAACAGAAGCUUCGGGCAGAGAUCCUGCAGCUAAAGGAACAUGUAGGUACAGAGCGGGAGUGUCACCUCACGGAGCAUGCACCGGGGACUGCAGCACAGCUGGAUGGGCCUCCUGAGAGAUCAUACAGGGCACAGGGUCUCCAUGACAGGCAUCCUGAAGGGCUCUGGCAGCUGUUCUUCAGGUGUGAAAUCUCUUUGGGGAAGCAACAACUGGACUUGGGAGAGAGGCAGAUUGCCAGCAUUGUCCAAGCUAACAUCCGCAUGGCAGAGGAGCUGAAACGGUACCGAACCUCAGAUGACCUGGAGAAGAAAGUCAGCAAGAUGGUAGGUCUCCCUCCUUCUCCUUCGCUGCUUGAAUGAUCACCUUAUGCUGUAACCAUUUGACUCCAGCUUCAUGGUUAAACCCUGGGGCAUGCUGAGAUAGGAGUUUUGAGCUCAACAUUCUAGCUGUGGCUGUGAAUGCUUCACAAAACAACAAGAACAGACAGAAUUUCAUGCAUUGUUUGUUUGUUUAACAUAAACACAGUGCCAGAUUUUCGACUAAUGCAGCACCAUUGUAGUCCGAAAACUCAGCAUCAUGGGGCCAGGGCAUGGGAACCAGGAAGUGAAACUGCCCAGCCUGGUUUUGCUAUCCCACGAAGGAAACAAGCAGCAUUAGUGAUUAAAAGCUAUUUAGUAUAAAACUCAGAGCACCUGUGUUAGUAAUUUAGGUGCUGAGCACCUCCUGGAGUGUACUUAACUCCCACUGAACCUGUGAGCACAUCAUCCUCCUCUUCCCCAGGAUGUGCUGCCAGUCCACCUCAUCCCCUGGACUCUUGGACAGGCCUCUCUUUUGCAGCUCCAGGCUCUGAAACUAUUUCCUUUUCCACCCAUCUGUAGCACCAGUGGUGACAAGAGGCAGCAAGCUAGCUCCUCUUCCUCAUUUCCAGCUGCUUUUAGAGCACUCCAGGUUCUGCCUGGCAGUGUAGAGCCUGGACAUGCAUUAGCAGCAGCUGGAGAGGAGAAGGAACCAUGACCAUGUGACCACCCUGGUGUGCCAGCGUGUGACUUUUUGCAUGGCAACUCUGGUGCCAUGAUAUAUAUUUUCCAAGGGGUGGGUUGGGAUUCUCCUCUUCCUCCCUAUACUCACAGUUUGGAAAACUCUUUCUGCCAUUUAUUCCUAAAGCUUUAGACCUUUACAAGGUCUCAGGGUCUAUGUCCACUUGGCAAAGCCAAACUGUCUGCGAACGUUGCCUGCUGCAUCUUUGCUUUGCAGCUCCUGAUGUCUGGGACCGCAGGUCUGGAAUCCUGGUCCACAGGGCUCUUCUGAUAUGUCUACACUGCAGUUAGACACCUGUGGCUGGCCCUGGUCAUGACUCCAGCUCGCACUAAGGGGCUGUUUAACUGUGGUGUAGACGUUGGGGCUCUGAUCCUGCGAGCGAGGAGGAUCCUAGACUCUAGCUGAAGCCCCAUGAGCCUGAGUCGGCUUACCUGGGUCAGCCAGGGCCAGUCUAAUUGCCAUAGAGACAUACCCCUAGGGGCUAGGCUGUCCUGACCUGCCACCCAGUAACCUGCAAACAGCUGUAGGAGUAGCAGCUGAACUCUGACAGAGAACUCCAGCCCUGGAAUCUGAUUGGUGGAACACGGGCAGUUCUGAUUGGUCUCCAGCCUCUAUUUUAACCCAAGCACAGGAACAGGAAGUUGUCCACACAACUGGGUUCUCCCUGCUCAGGACUGCUUCCUCUGAUCCCUGACCCUGUCUGCUUCCUGACAUGUUGAGCAGAUGGAGUGGCAGCACCGAGAAUUGCUGCAGAUGCAGGUGGCAGCCCUGCGGAAGGAGUUUGCCCAGAAAGAGAGUCAG